UACAGAGGUCCCGAGCGUUGUUCGGAUUCACUGGGCGUAAAGGGUGCGUAGGUGGCAUGGUAAGUUUGAUGUGAAAGCUCAGGGCUUAACCCUGAAAUGGCAUUGAAUACUACUGUGCUGGAGGUUUGGAGGGGGGACUGGAAUUCUUGGUGUAGCAGUGAAAUGCGUAGAUAUCAAGAGGAACACCAGUGGCGAAGGCGAGUCCCUGGACAACACCUGACACUGAGGCACGAAAGCGUGGGGAGCAAACAGG
rnacentral:rRNA from 1 species